CCUACGGGAGACUGCAGUGAGGAAUAUUGGUCAAUGGCCGGAAGGCUGAACCAGCCAUGCCGCGUGAAGGUCAGUGCCCUAUGGGCGUUAAACUUCUUUUGUGCGGGAGCAAUAAUGGUCACGUGUGGCCAGACGAGAGUACCGUACGAAUAAGCAUCGGCUAACUCCGUGCCAGCAGCCGCGGUAAUACGGGGGAUGCAAGCGUUAUCCGGAUUUAUUGGGUUUAAAGGGUGCGUAGGCUGUGAGGUAAGUCAGCGGUGAAAUGCCCCCGCUCAACGGGGUGAAGUGCCAUUGAUACUGCCUGGCUGGAAUGCGGAUGCCGUGGGAGGAAUGUGUGGUGUAGCGGUGAAAUGCAUAGAUAUCACACAGAACACCGAUUGCGAAGGCAUCUCACGAAUCCGCGAUUGACGCUGAUGCACGAAAGCGUGGGUAUCAAACAGGAUUAGAUACCCUAGUAGUC
rnacentral:rRNA from 1 species